GCGGGGCUGCGGGGCACGUUUGGAGAUCAUUUCCCCGGGGCCUUAACGAUCCCAAGGGAGCUGUCCCUGACCCGGUCCCUGGACCGGGAUACACGGCGCCCACCUACAUAAGUAGGUUCCCGGGAUCGCUUCUCUGACGACUUUCGCGGCUCCGCA
rnacentral:other from 1 species